UGCCCCGCCCUCCUGCCAGGGGCCCGCCCAGCGGCCAGACAGCUUCUUGUUUCGCCUCAGCCAGAAGGAAGAGCAGAGGAGAGGUGAUGGUGCCGCCCCCAGGCCGGAGCCUGAAGAGGUGACCCCUACCCAGCCUCAAGGCCCCAUGGGAGAGGAGGCUGCUCUGGUGGAGCAACUGCGGAAGAACAUAGAGUCGCGUCUGAAAGUGUCCUUGCCCAGCGACCUGGGAGCAGCACUGACCGACGGGGUCGUCCUCUGCCAUCUGGCAAAUCAUGUGCGGCCACGAUCCGUACCCAGCAUCCAUGUGCCCUCCCCUGCUGUGCCCAAACUGACGAU